rnacentral:tRNA from 1 species
CGUCCCGUUCGUCUAGAGGCCUAGGACACCGCCCUUUCACGGCGGUAACACGGGUUCGAAUCCCGUACGGGAC